AGCGAACGCUGGCGGCGUGCCCAACACAUGCAAGUCGAACGUGAAAAGGGAAACCUGAGUAAAGUGGCGUACGGGUGAGUAACGCGUAGGUAAUCUACCCCAGAAUCUGGAAUAACCUGCCGAACGGCGGGCUAAUACUGGAUAGAGCGAGGGAACUCGUAAGAGAGUUUUUCGGGAAAGGGAGCCCGCAAGGGCCUUCGUUCUGGGAUGAGCCUGCGUCUCAUUAGCUAGUUGGUAAGGUAACGGCUUACCAAGGCGAUGAUGAGUAGCUGGUCUGAGAGGAUGAGCAGCCACACUGGAACUGAAACACGGUCCAGACUCCUACGGGAGGCAGCAGUGGGGAAUCUUGCGCAAUGGACGAAAGUCUGACGCAGCCACGCCGCGUGAGUGAAGAAGGCCUUCGGGUUGUAAAGCUCUGUCGGAUGGGACGAACAUCUUCAUAGUGAAGAGCUAUGAGGACGGACGGUACCAUCAAAGGAAGCACCGGCUAACUCCGU
rnacentral:rRNA from 1 species